rnacentral:tmRNA from 1 species
GGGUUAGUAAAGGUUUCGACAGGGGUCUUGCAGCUGGAGAAGCUAUCCGCAGGCGAUGCGUCAAAUCGCAACACUAAAUAUAAACGCUGAUAAUAAAUUAGCAUACGCUGCCUAAUGGCAGCUGUCCGACUUAGUGCACCUACACAUUAAGAUCCGGGCAUCGACUAUGUAGGAAACGACACAGGCUAAGCUUUGCACCUGUGGGCGUAUGAUGAAGCUACUAAACGGAUUGGGGUGUCAAUUUCCUGAUCUGGGAGGGAAUGCGGGAAACCAAAACAAUUGACUAUGAUAGUAGAAGGACAGGGAAUGGGUCUUUGGACGCGGGUUCGACUCCCGCCUAAUCCACUC